AGAUGGAUUAGUGGCGCACGGAAGAAGUGAGUUUAGCAUUAGGUUUUGUGCCCUUUGAUUCUGGGAAUACCCCGUGGAACCGGUGAUUAAUUACUAGAUCUCCCUACGGGGGAAAGAAUUCCGCUAAAGGAUCCCCCUAUGUCCUAUCAGCUUGUUGGUGAGGUAAUGGCUCACCAAGGCUAUGACGGGUAUCCGACCUGAGAGGGUGAACGGACACACUGGAACUGAGACACGGUCCAGACUCCUACGGGAGGCAGCAGUAGGGAAUAUUGCUCAAUGGGGGAAACCCUGAAGCAGCAACGCCGCGUGGAGGAUGAAAGGUUUUAGGAUCGGUAAACUCCUUUUCUAAGA
rnacentral:rRNA from 1 species